rnacentral:rRNA from 1 species
UUCCAGGAUCAUACCUGGAGGUACCUGACCCCAUCUGAUCUUGGAAGCUAAACAGGGUCAUGUCUGAUUAGUCCCUGAGUGGAGACCUGCCAGGGAGCAGCAGGCACUCUGGGCU